GGCCAGGUUAAUGUUUGCACAAGGUUUCUUUUGAUUUUGUUUGUGCUGUUUUCUUUCUUUUACAUUAAAAAUAAUCAAGUUAAAAACAUUAACCAGUGAAAAGCCUCGUCUUUGACCAGCCCCAUAGUACUUCAUAUGUCAACCUUGAAUUAAAACAAACUCAUUUCAAAUUGGUCAACAAUUUAAAUAAAAGGUACAUCACUAAAUUUCAAUCAGCACUUUUCAAAUGAUAAAAAGUUACAUUGAUUGAUUGGUUCUUGGUGUUUUAACAACACAUUUUGGCUUUUUGGUGGCAAUCAUAUUUUAUUGGUGGAGGGAGCCAGAGUGUCUGGUGAAAACCACUGACCUUUGAUAGGAAAAGUGAGUCCUAGUCAAUUAAGAUUGGAGUCGAGUGCACCCGCACGAGCUGGGUUGGAACUCACAACCUCAGUGUUGACUGGUUAGUGAUUACAGUAGUAAAAAUACUUAAGACCACUUGGCCACCCAGGCCCCAAUUAAAAGUUACACAUUUUUUUUUAAAUAAACCUAGGUUACAUAGCUACUUAAAAUUUCGUCAAGUCAGAGGCCUAGGACUGUCAUAGAGUUGAGUAUGGACUGGUAAUAGGACAAAGCAUUGGACUUUGUUGUAAAAAAAAACCGGAAAGAACAUGACCCUUUCGCAAACAAUUUAAACAUUAAAGGGAUGGAAUAUGAGAAAAUAUUGGUUUGGGGGGCGAAUUUUGUGCUUUAAUUAAAUUUACCAAAAUUAUUGUGUGCAUUUAUUAUUGAGAUUUUCCCAAAAAAUGGACAAGAAAGUGUGGUUAAUUGUUGUGAUUUCAGAGAAAUCUACUUACAGAUGUAUGUUUUAGCUAUUAAAAUACUAGUUCUUAUUAUUGCCAAACUCGCCUUUUGCAAGUUUGGACUCCUUUGGUUUCUUCUACAAUACAGGGUGAAUUAAAUUACCCCAUAUUUUCCACUUUUUUGUUCACCGAAGACUUCAAUAGCUCAAAAAAAU
rnacentral:lncRNA from 1 species